UGGCUUAACGCUAGCUACAGGCUUAACACAUGCAAGUCGAGGGGCAGCAUGAAGUUKGCUUGCAAACUUUGAUGGCGACCGGCGCACGGGUGAAGUAACGSGUAUCCAACCUUCCCYUUAGUAGGGCAUAGCCCGGCGAAAGUCGGAUUAAUACCCUAUGUUAUCCGAAGAGGACAUCUGAAUUGGAUUAAAGAUUCAUCGYUAAGGGAUGGGGAUGCGUCUGAUUAGGUAGUAGGCGGGGUAACGGCCCACCUAGCYUACGAUCAGUAGGGGUUCUGAGAGGAAGGUCCCCCACAUUGGAACUGAGACACGGUCCAAACUCCUACGGGAGGCAGCAGUGAGGAAUAUUGGUCAAUGGACGARAGUCUGAACCAGCCAAGUUAGCGUGCAGGAUGACGGCCCUAUGGGUUGUAAACUGCUUUUAUGCGGGGAUAAAGUGARGGACGUGUCCCUUUUUGUWRGUWCCGCAUGAAUAAGNACCGGGNAUUCCUUUNA
rnacentral:rRNA from 1 species